AUUGAACGCUGGCGGCAUGCCUUACACAUGCAAGUCGAACGGCAGCACGGGUGCUUGCCCCUGGUGGCGAGUGGCGAACGGGUGAGUAAUACAUCGGAACAUGUCCUGUAGUGGGGGAUAGCCCGGCGAAAGCCGGAUUAAUACCGCAUACGAUCUACGGAUGAAAGCGGGGGACCUUCGGGCCUCGCGCUAUAGGGUUGGCCGAUGGCUGAUUAGCUAGUUGGUGGGGUAAAGGCCUACCAAGGCGACGAUCAGUAGCUGGUCUGAGAGGACGACCAGCCACACUGGGACUGAGACACGGCCCAGACUCCUACGGGAGGCAGCAGUGGGGAAUUUUGGACAAAGGGCGAAAGCCUGAUCCAGCAAUGCCGCGUGUGUGAAGAAGGCCUUCGGGUUGUAAAGCACUUUUGUCCGGAAAGAAAUCCUUGGCCCUAAUACGGUCGGGGGAUGACGGUACCGGAAGAAUAAGCACCGGCUAACUACGUG
rnacentral:rRNA from 1 species